rnacentral:pre_miRNA from 1 species
UUUAUUUUUUCGUGUCCAACGUUUGAUCAUUCCUCUUAUUUGAAAUUUUUUUUUUUGAUAAAUAUUUUUAUUAUUACUAGAUGAUAAAAUAUGAAUAGUAUUUUAUAUGUGACUAAUUUUUUAAAAUUUUUAUACAAAUUUUUCAAAUAAGACGAAUGGUCAAACGUUGCACACAAAAAAAC